UGCAAGUCGAGCGGACAGAUGGGAGCUUGCUCCCUGAUGUUAGCGGCGGACGGGUGAGUAACACGUGGGUAACCUGCCUGUAAGACUGGGAUAACUCCGGGAAACCGGGGCUAAUACCGGAUGGUUGUCUGAACCGCAUGGUUCAGACAUAAAAGGUGGCUUCGGCUACCACUUACAGAUGGACCCGCGGCGCAUUAGCUAGUUGGUGAGGUAACGGCUCACCAAGGCGACGAUGCGUAGCCGACCUGAGAGGGUGAUCGGCCACACUGGGACUGAGACACGGCCCAGACUCCUACGGGAGGCAGCAGUAGGGAAUCUUCCGCAAUGGACGAAAGUCUGACGGAGCAACGCCGCGUGAGUGAUGAAGGUUUUCGGAUCGUAAAGCUCUGUUGUUAGGGAAGAACAAGUGCCGUUCAAAUAGGGCGGCACCUUGACGGUACCUAACCAGAAAGCCACGGCUAACUACGUGCCAGCAGCCGCGGUAAUACGUAGGUGGCAAGCGUUGUCCGGAAUUAUUGGGCGUAAAGGGCUCGCAGGCGGUUUCUUAAGUCUGAUGUGAAAGCCCCCGGCUCAACCGGGGAGGGUCAUUGGAAACUGGGGAACUUGAGUGCAGAAGAGGAGAGUGGAAUUCCACGUGUAGCGGUGAAAUGCGUAGAGAUGUGGAGGAACACCAGUGGCGAA
rnacentral:rRNA from 1 species